rfam:Pan troglodytes isolate Yerkes chimp pedigree #C0471 (Clint) chromosome 7, whole genome shotgun sequence.
GCCCUGCCUGUGGCCCCGGCUACUCCGGAGGCUGAGGCGGGAGCAGCGCUUGAGCCCGGGAGCUCUGCGUUGUAUGCGCUGUGCCCAUUGCGCGGCGACACGCAUCGGUGUUCCACAUCGGUGUGGUGACCUCCCGGGAGCAGGGACCACCAGGUUCCCCAAGGAGUGGGGAACCGGCCCAGCUCGGAAACCCGGCAGGGCAAAACUCCUGUGCUGAUCGGUAGUGGGAUCGCGCCUGUGAAUAGCCACUGCCCUCCAGCCUGGGCAAUACAGCGAGACCCCAU